UACGUAGGGUGCAAGCGUUGUCCGGAAUUAUUGGGCGUAAAGAGCUCGUAGGCGGUCUGUCGCGUCGGCUGUGAAAUCCCGGAGCUCAACUCCGGGUCUGCAGUCGAUACGGGCAACUGGAGUACUGCAGGGGAGACUGGAAUUCCUGGUGUAGCGGUGGAAUGCGCAGAUAUCAGGAGGAACACCGGUGGCGAAGGCGGGUCUCUGGGCAGUAACUGACGCUGAGGAGCGAAAGCGUGGGGAGCGAACAGG
rnacentral:rRNA from 1 species